CUCAUGCCUUACAACGAAGUAUUGAGGAGGUGUUAUCACCUCAGGUUUUCCGUUUGUAAUACAAUGGAAAUAUAUCUAAAUCAGAUAAGAAAAGUAUAUUUUAACUGGGGGUGGGCAUAUUUAAAUUAACCUUAACCCUACUACACAACUCUCUCAUGGAUAACAUUUCGGUUCGGCUGUUGACGUAUCGUGGUGAGCUCACGUCAUCCCAUGUACAACACUUUUAUAAACAUGCAGGCAGUGUGUCCUUAUUGUGUCACUAUGUUAAUCCGGCCAGGGGUUUGAUCGUCUCAGAUGUAAACAUUGAUCAGUGAAUUGGAGCGCGCGGUCUCUUUAAAGACCGCACCUGCGCAACGAGCCGCUGCUGCUGAUGCUGCAGUGGCUGGGUUAUUUUCGGUAAAACAACCGAGGGGUUACUUUCGUUCAGACAUACUGGGCCUCCGUGCAAUCACAACGCCGCGACCUCCAUUCAGACUUCUUAUAAUCAGGAUUUAAAAAUAGGUGUGUCCCUGGAAUCCGAGAAACGCUGCGCGUCUUUGCGCAACCCCAUUUAAGGAAUAUUUAAAUGCAUGAUAGGAGGGCUACAUCAAUGAUAAUUGUUUACUAACGCAGGGUUGUGUCGAGUGUGGACAGGAAACGUGGUGGAGACGUGUAUGACCUGCUCUUCCUUCUACCAAUAACUGAGCACUGUAAGCUAGGCGGUGAAAUGUCUGUCUAUCCUCAUUGAAAAGUGUCAAUUCUCCCAUAUGUUCUGCUUAUGCAUUUGAAAAAGAAAAACGUAAUAAUUAAUCAAACACUGAAAAAUCGGCAAAACAAUUGAUAUGUUUAUAUUUUGAAUGCGUCACCAAUGUCCCCUUUUACAUAUUGACCCAACAUUGAAGGCUUUAUUUGUCUCGGAAUGAACAUGGCUGCGGUAACCAUGGCAAUGUGGGGAUUGGAAUGUUAACCCCAGACCAGGGAGGUGUUCCGAGGAGCUCAAGCAGUGUGCGGAGCGGCUCCAAUAGACUAAGACUAGAGCGGCCCUCUGCAGUAUCCCAACACAAACCAGUACACUACCUACAGGAUGGACCUCAGACUGGCCAGUGCUGUGCUUCCCCUGGGCCUUCUGCUGCUCAUCAUCACACCGGGCACUUCAGCAGGGCCGGUGGGGGACGGGACGCUUCCUAUCAGGGUGUCUGUGGAGGGCCGCGGGCUGUCCAGCGAGGCUACGGGCUCCUACUCUGGCUCAGUGGUGGAGGGAGGGGUUCUGCUGGGGGCCCUCGAGACUGCAGCAGACGGAGCCGUCCUUUAGGUUCACGCUGAAGGAGGACCCCGACCACGGCCUGUUCCUGGAGAGCGUCAACGGAGUGGCGGGCAGCGGGCAGGCCCAGUCCUACUGGGAGCUGCUGUCGGCGGGCGCGCCAGGGGAACCCGCCCGGCUGGAUGCGGGUAUCGGCUGCUACAAGCCCAAAGCUGGUGAACACAUAAUUCUGCGUCUGAGCACCUGGUCCAAAGACUUAUAAACUAAUUCAUGGAUUGGGUUUGAUUUCAGUCUUUCAAGAAUAUAAGCAUAAAAUACUGUAUUUUUGAAUCUGCAAUAUAGCAUGCUGCACACAAGGAGAACAUGGACUCUGCUCGACUCAUGACCGCUUUAGACACGUGACCGUUGGGACUCUGCUUACUAGCGGCCUCUAGUGGCCCACAGGAGCUAUAGCGCUGAUGAUCAGACAAACAAAAUACGCUUACAGACAUAACAGACAAAUUACAGACAAUGAAAUAGAUUGUGUUUUGGGGAAUUUAGGUAAAUUAAAAAGCCUGGGUGUGUAUUUAAAUAAAAGCAUGCAAUGAAUAAAUGAUUACACAACAUAAACAUGACGUCAUUUAAUUGUCUUUUGCAUAUCUAAAACAUAUCUAACAUCAUAAUAAUAAUAAAAAAGCAAGAAAUGUCUGUCUCACAGCAGAAUAAUAAAUAUCUACAUAUCUGCAAAUAUCUCAUAGUGUCAAUGAUGUUUUAUGAGUUUCUUCUUAGUAAAAUGUUCCUAAUUACUAGCAUUUAUUAUAUGACGCUAUUGCUUUUAUUAUUAUAUUGUUUGCAUGCAUAGAACUGGUAGAAUCCGAAAGGGAUGUCAGUCCAUCAAAGCUAUCCUACAGAUUAUAUCUAAGAUUCAUGUUUUGAUUGUCAAUUAUUCAUUUCAUAAAUGUUCUUAGUCAACCUAAACAAUUCAGACCACAAAUCAAUGAAAUAAGUUUGUUCAAAACCUUCA